CCCUUAGAUGUUCUGGGCCGCACGCGCGCUACACUGUUUGAUUCAGCGAGUCUUAACCUUGGCCGAAAGGUUUGGGUAAUCUUCUAAAGUCAAACGUGAUGGGGAUCGAUCAUUGCAAUUAUUGAUCGUGAACGAGGAAUUCCUAGUAAAUGCAAGUCAUCAGCUUGCGUUGAUUACGUCCCUGCCCUUUGUACACACCGCCCGUCGCUACUACCGAUUGAAUGGUUUAGUGAGAUCUCCGGAUUGGCUCUGCAGGUCCCGCAAGGGAUUUAUUAGUAGCCAAGAAGCUGCUCAAACUUGAUCAUUUAGAGGAAGUAAAAGUCGUAACA
rnacentral:rRNA from 1 species